AGAAGCCAUCUUAACGAUCUUGAACAGAACCAGUCUCAGAGGGCAAGCCAACAUGCUUAAGUUGGAAGAGUAGAAAGUUGUGAAAAAGGUUCCUUUUGACAUCAGUGAAUUACCAAUUUCCUUUGCCCCUACUAAGCUCCUUAGAUACAAUCAUUUUUUAGCACAGCUCACUUAAGGAUAUCAACUUGAAUGAGGGUUACCUCAGUGACCACAAGGAAUGAGUGAUGAGCACAGAAUCAUGCAAUAGCAGCUGUGGAUUAAGAAGAGUGAACAGGGCUGGGUGCGGUGGCUCACGCCUGUAAUCCCAGCAGUUUAGGAGGC